CACACAGUGAGUUCAGACUGUACAGCGCCCGGGAGCAGGGGGCGGGGCCAUCUCUAUAACGCAUUAUAAAUAUAUUUAUAAUAUAAUAAACAUACUUUUAUUGCGUUGCUGUUGUUAUAUCAACACACUGAACUGGAGCUUCCCGAAGGAACAAUUAGACAACCAGCAGGACCCAUGAGAGGAAUAACUUCAUCUUUCUGUGUGAAUAUUAAUCACCGCUCUGAAAUAAGACAACACAUGCUGACCUCCGAGAAACAAAAUCACAGCUGACAUUUAAAAGCUGAGACGAGUUGGAGAUCAUCUUUCCUUUAAAGUCCUGUGUUGUAUAUGUAGUCCAUCCAUCCAUCGUCUACCGCUUAUCCG